rnacentral:rRNA from 1 species
UACGAAGGGGGGCUAGCGUUGUUCGGAAUUACUGGGCGUAAAGCGCACGUAGGCGGCUUUGUAAGUUAGAGGUGAAAGCCCGGGGCUCAACUCCGGAAUUGCCUUUAAGACUGCAUCGCUAGAAUUGUGGAGAGGUAAGUGGAAUUUCCGAGUGUAGAGGUGAAAUUCGUAGAUAUUCGGAAGAACACCAGUGGCGAAGGCGACUUACUGGACACAUAUUGACGCUGAGGUGCGAAAGCGUGGGGAGCAAACAGG